CGUGUAGGCGGAUUGCCAAGUCAUUUGUGAAAGCUCUCGGCUAAACUGGGAGAGGUCGAAUGAGACUGGUAGUCUGGAGAGCAGGAGAGGGGUGCGGAAUUCCGGGUGUAGUGGUGAAAUGCGUAGAUAUCCGGAGGAACACCAGUGGCGAAGGCGGCGCCCUGGCCUGCAACUGACGCUAAGACGCGAAAGCAUGGGGAGCGAACG
rnacentral:rRNA from 1 species